UACGGAGGGCGCGAGCGUUAAUCGGAAUUACUGGGCGUAAAGCGCGCGUAGGCUGUUGUGUAAGUUGGGGGUGAAAUCCCACGGCUCAACCGUGGAACAGCCCUUGAUACUGCGCGACCUGAAUCCGGGAGAGGGUGGCGGAAUUCCAGGUGUAGGAGUGAAAUCCGUAGAUAUCUGGAGGAACAUCAGUGGCGAAGGCGGCCACCUGGACCGGUAUUGACGCUGAGGCGCGAAAGCGUGGGGAGCAAACAGG
rnacentral:rRNA from 1 species